AGCCCAACUCUAGCCCAAACCAUAAUUCAAACAAAACUAACCAAAACCCUCUCCCCACCUCCAAAACCAAAGCAUUCUUUUAACUUAGUAUAGGCGAUAGAAAAGACCCCCUCUUGGCGCAAUAGAAACCUCUGUACCGCAAGGGAAAGAUGAAAUAACAAUGAAAAACCAAAGCAAUAAACAGCAAAGAUAAACUCUUGUACCUUUUGCAUCAUGAUUUAGCAAGAACAAUCAAGCAAAACGAACUAAAGCUUGUCACCCCGAAACCCAAGCGAGCUACUUACAAGCAGCUACCUUUGAGCGAACCCGUCUCUGUUGCAAAAGAGUGGGAUGACUUGUUAGUAGCGGUGAAAAGCCAACCGAGCUGGGUGAUAGCUGGUUGCCUGUGAAACGAAUUUAAGUUCUUUCUUGAUUUUUCUCUACAGACACUAAACCCAAACUACACCGAAGUAAAUCAAGAGUAAUUUAAAGGAGGUACAGCUCCUUUAAAAAAGAAUACAACCUCUCCUAGCGGAUAAUACCUCCUCACCCCAAAACUGUAGGCCUUUAAGCAGCCAUCAAUAAAGAGUGCGUCAAAGCUCACCUUAAAAAAAUCCAACAAUCAAUCUGACUCCCUUACCCUUAACAGGCUAACCUAUAGUAAUAGGAGAAUUAAUGCUAAAAUAAGUAACUAGGGACACCCCCCUCUCAAGCGCAAGCUUACAUCAUUACAUUAUUAACAGACUACGGCUAAUGCUGCAAACCAACAAGACCAAACAUUAAACUCACCCUGUUAACCCGACUCAGGAGCGCUUUAUUAGAAAGAUUGAAACCUGUAAAAGGAACUAGGCAAGCCCAAGGCCCGACUGUUUACCAAAAACAUAGCCUUCAGCCCAACAAGUAUUGAAGGUGAUGCCUGCCCAGUGACAUUAUGUUCAACGGCCGCGGUAUCCUAACCGUGCGAAGGUAGCGCAAUCAAUUGUCUCAUAAAUCGAGACUUGUAUGAAUGGCUAAACGAGGUCUUAACUGUCUCUUACAGGCAAUCAGUGAAAUUGAUCUUCCUGUGCAAAAGCAGGAAUAAGUACAUAAGACGAGAAGACCCUGUGGAACUUAAAAAUCAGCGACCACCACAUAUCACACCAUAACCCUAUUAGGCUCACAUCCCAAAAGAACUGGCCCGCAUUUUUCGGUUGGGGCGACCUUGGAGAAAAACAAACCCUCCAAAAUCAAGACCAUACUUCUUAAUCAAGAGCAACCCCUCAACGUACUAAUAGUAAUUCAGACCCAGUAUAACUGACCAAUGAACCAAGCUACCCCAGGGAUAACAGCGCAAUCUCCCUCAAGAGCCCAUAUCGACAGGGAGGUUUACGACCUCGAUGUUGGAUCAGGACAUCCUAAUGGUGCAGCCGCUAUUAAGGGUUCGUUUGUUCAACGAUUAACAGUCCUACGUGAUCUGAGUUCAGACCGGAGUAAUCCAGGUCGGUUUCUAUCUAUGAUAAACUUUCCCUAGUACGAAAGGACCGGGAAAGUAAGGCCAAUACCACAGGCACGCCUUCCCUCUAAAGUAAUGAACCCAACUAAAUUACCAAGAGGACUUUCCCCCUAAUCCUAGAUAAGGACCG
rnacentral:rRNA from 1 species